rnacentral:rRNA from 1 species
AGUGAACGCUGGCGGUAGGCCUAACACAUGCAAGUCGAACGGCAGCACAGUAAGAGCUUGCUCUUACGGGUGGCGAGUGGCGGACGGGUGAGGAAUACAUCGGAAUCUACUUUUUCUUGGGGGAUAACGUAGGGAAACUUACGCUAAUACCGCAUACGACCUACGGGUUAAAGCAGUGGAUCUUCGGACCUUUCGCGAUUGAAUGAGCCGAUGUCGGAUUAGCUAGUUGGCGGGGUAAAGGCCCACCAAGGCGACGAUCCGUAGCUGGUCUGAGAGGAUGAUCAGCCACACUGGAACUGAGACACGGUCCAGACUCCUACGGGAGGCAGCAGUGGGGAAUAUUGGACAAAGGGCGAAAGCCUGAUCCAGCAAUACCGCGUGGGUGAAGAAGGCCUUCGGGUUGUAAAGCCCUUUUGUUGGGAAAGAAAAGCAGCAGGUUAAUACCCCGCUGUUCUGACGGUACCCAAAGAAUAAGCACCGGCUAACUUCGUG